rnacentral:rRNA from 1 species
CCUACGGGAGGCUGCAGUGGGGGAUAUUGCACAAUGGGGGGAACCCUGAUGCAGCGAAGCCGCGUGGGUGAAGAAGCGCCUCGGCGCGUAAAGCCCUGUCAGCAGGGAAGUAAAUGACGGUACCUGAAGAAGAAGCCCCGGCUAACUACGUGCAAGCAGCCGCGGUUAUACGUAGGGGGCCAGCGUUAUCCGGAUUUACUGGGGGUAAAGGGGGCGCAGGCGGCGAUGCAAGCCAGGAGUGAAAGCCCGGGGGCCAACCCCGGGAGUGCUCUUGGAACUGCGUGGCUGGAGUGCAGGAAGGGCAGGCGGAAUUCGUGGUGUAGCGGUGAAAUGCGUAGAUAUCAGGAGGAACACCGGUGGCGAAGGCGGCCUGCUGGACUGCAACUGACGUUGAGGCCCGAAAGCGUGGGGAGCAAACAGGAUUAGAUACCCAAGUAGUC